UGAACUAUGCUUGGUACGAUGACAUCAACCUUGGCUGCAUAAAACUCACUUUACAGGACUACACAAUUUAUAGGAGUAAAUGGCUUUCCAUUUCACAAAGAGUUUAAGUGCACACUGUUUGCAUUUCUUUGUCUACCAAUUACACCCCAGAUGUUUAACAUCAGUAAACAAAAACAGGUCACAAAGUUUACUGUGCCUGAUGGUCUUCAGCAGCCCUGAAAUACAUCCACAUGUGCUCUCAUUCACUUCUGGGCAUCUGAAUUCACCUCACUAAAGUUUCCAAACUAAGUUUCAAAACAGGAACUGUGAUCAGUCAAUUGUUCUGAACAGCGCAUAAACUCACAGACAAAGUACACUACACACUCCUUGCACACCCCUGUAUUUUAACACAAACUAUUCCCACUGGGAACAGAGAGCACGUGUAACACAGAGAAAACAACCUUUGCCUCACAGAGCUCUGUAUUUAAAAGAAGAGCACGCAAACAAGACGGAAAGACUAAAGUGGGAGACAGCAUAAGAUGCUCAAUAGCUGUUCUCUUUGUAGAGUGCUGUGAAUGAAUAUUCAUGCAAAAAGAACCAGAACCAGUAACAGCCAUGGGCAGGGCCUGAAGAUUCUGAUCUAUAUGUUAGCUCAAGUGGUGAACUGCGAACGUAGCAAGUGAUGUAACCGGUGAAAGCAAAAAAGUGUCACAUCUUACACACAGACAGUACAGUUUGCAAUAGGUGUAUGAAGAGUCCUUCCAGAUGGUAACACACAAAAAAGAAAGCCUUGAACACUUUUCUAAUACUAGAAUAGAAGUGUAGAGCUUUUGGAAUAUAAUACAUAGAAGAAUAGGGACUUGCUAUGAUACAGCAACGAAACAGGUGUGCCAUUGUAAGAUCCCAUUUGUUGUCAACUUUUAAUACCUCUUGAAGGGGAGAAGAGCUCUGCGAAGUGCAAAUGACAAACCUCAGCCAUUCUCAUGCCUUCAUGUGUCAUUAUUUCUUCCCUUCCCCACCACCUCUCAAGUUGCAUGUUAGGUUGCUUACUGCUGAUGACACAAUCACUCUACUGUUUCCUAUGUUCUUAACUCCAUUUUAAAUUCCACCUCUGUGUUCUUAGCAGUGUGCUCAAUUUUAUCCUCCUUUUCCACAAUCACUGAGCGUUCUGUCUACAACUGUUCCUGAGUUCACUUAAUUUCACUUUGAAUUCCCACUCAACCUGACUUCUGUCCUUUCCUCUGCGCUGAAACUAUGCUCAACAACAUUCAGCCAAAGGUCCCUACUAGAUAUGUGCAGUUGCUCUCCUUUAACUUGGCUGUUACCAGUGUCAUGCACGUGCAGUUGGAAGGCUUUCAAAUCAGCGUAGACUGAUUUUACACCACUGAAGCCAAAGGGGAAGUCUGCCGCCAAGUUCAACUGAUGCUGGAACAGACUCAAGGAAGGAAAAUUAUGGCUGAAGCAAUUAAAGAGAAAAACCUAGAUGCACUGUACGGAACAGACCUCAAAACAGACGGAACUCUCCCUCACUAUCACGGUGACCUCCUGAGCAGCCCAUCUGCAACUGCCGGAGCCCUUCUGAAGGCCAAGCAGAACACAUGGCAACAAGUUCUGCCUCACAGAAAGAAAAAGGAG